UCCUCGCGGACCCGUGCCACGCGGCAGCG
rnacentral:sRNA from 1 species